GGCUGACCUGCCUGCCUCGGGGCAGGAGGUCUCGGCCUUGGCUGGGUGGGACGUGAGGCUCUCCCCUGCCCCGGUACGUGGUGGCUGUGCGUGACUGCUGCCCGCUGCUGGAGCAGGUAGUGGCCUGGGCAAGGCUGCCGUGCCCUCGGAGCCAAGCCGGGGCCAAAACGAAUGGGGACCGGAGCUCUGCGGUGGCUGUGGCAGAACCACGGCUUCAUGGGUCUGGCACAGGCCUGCUUGCACACCUCCUUCAGAGCGGCUCUGCCGGCUGCCCUCAGAAGGAACUAAGCUACUGCUCUCUCUUGGCAGUUCCCUGAGCUGAAUCUCGAGUACCCCAUUGUGGAGGAGAUCCUAGAGAGGGAGAGGGAGGCAGCAUGGCAGCACCCUCAAUGGCUCUUGGGACCUAAGGCUGGGACUCCUGCGCCCUUCUGGGGCCAGCGCCCCUCAGGCCUUGCAGGAGACGCCGCUUCCUCCGGUUCGUCCAGCUCUGCCUCUUCCAGCCGGUCAAGAUCCAGGGACAGAGCCUGCAAGCGGCACGAGGCACGGAGCCAUCAUUUCUGCAAUCAGUAAUGGCCACUGCUGCUGGCC